rnacentral:rRNA from 1 species
CCUACGGGAGGCAGCAGUGAGGAAUAUUGGUCAAUGGUCGGGAGACUGAACCAGCCAAGCCGCGUGAGGGAGGAAGGUACAGAGUAUCGUAAACCUCUUUUGUCAGGGAACAAAGACUGGGACGCGUCCCCGGAUGAGUGUACCUGAAGAAAAAGCAUCGGCUAACUACGUGCCGGCAGCCGGGGUAAUACGAGGGAUGCGAGCGUUAUCCGGAUUUAUUGGGUUUAAGGGGUGCGCGGGCGGUCUGUUAAGUCAGCGGUCAAAGCCCGGGGCUCAACCCCGGCCCGCCGUUGAAACUGGCAGUCUCGAGUUGGAGAGAGGGAUGCGGAAUGCGCGGUGUAGCGGUGAAAUGCAUAGAUAUCGCGCAGAACUCCGGUGGCGAAGGCAGCAUGCCGGCUCCACACUGACGCUGAGGCACGAAAGCGUGGGUAGCGAACAGGAUUAGAUACCCCUGUAGUC